UUUCGCUUCCCCCCAUGUUGCUUAAUUGGUGUUAUGCUGACAUUUACCUCUGGUUCUAGCUCCCUUGACAAUACCAACCUGAUUUUCCUCUCUGCAGCAUUGUCCUAUAGCAUUGCUUCUGAAUGGCGUAAAUAUUCGAUGGCCUAAAGUUUAGCUACAUCCCUACCGCAACGUUUCUUGUAGUAUAUGAAGUUCCUGGCUCCAUACCCAAG
rnacentral:lncRNA from 1 species